rnacentral:misc_RNA from 1 species
CGAGCACCUGCAGCUCAGAAACUGCGAGCCAAGCAGACCUACACAGAGAUAGAGAGAGCCGGUAUACUGUGUCGCCUGUACGGGAAGCGAGCCGCCUUGGAUGGACCAGUGAAGUUUAGGCUUGAGACGGAGCGUUGCAACAAAAAAAAAAGGUCACGCCGAUCUCCCAGCACAUCACCGUUCUGUGCCUGCACCCGCAACAACACCGUCACGAACGGUUAUCUUCGUAGCUGCACCACUCUUCCACAAGCACAUACAUACGCGCACGCACGACACUCACAUGAGCGAUGGGCGGUCCUUCUGGUUUUCUGACCUCCUGCGCCAUGGCAGCCAUGAGAAGAGUGAGUUGAGAGGUGGUGGCCACUCCGACAGCAGCGACAGCAGUGACCGAGCGACGGAAGUCUUUUACGAUCAUCAAUCCGGCCUGCCGCAACAUGAGCCAACAGGCCCCUCCACCGCUCGAAGCGGCGACAGUCUUGCCCACCAGUCUCUCCGGCUCAUCCCGGGGGGCCAGCAACAGCAGCAGCAGCAGCCACCAACCAAGCAAGUGCCCUCUGCGUCUCCGACUUCCUCCCUAGAUGACGCGCGUAAAGGCAGCGUUGACAGCUUCCCUGCCAGCACCUUUGCCUCAACGGCGUCGGGUGCAACGUCGUCCGCGUUGGUUGGCACGGUGGAUGAGGCGGUGGUCACGAUGGACCACGCCGUCCGUGUUCCGUCUGCCCUGCGUGGUGCUGGUCGCCGAACCAUGUUCGACGUUCUCGUCGACGUCGCAGCACGACAGCGACGACAGGAACAGCGGCAGUCGCAACCGCAGGAGUCUGCGGAGGGUAAGAGCCUCGCCAGCAAACCUAGCACCGCCACCAGAGAUGCUCAGGUGCUGGCGCCGCACCCGUCCGGUACCGCAGCGUCGUCGCUGGUCGUCGCCUCCUCUGCGCGAGAAGUGACGUAUCAGAUGCUCUUUCCUCGAGCUGCAGUUGCUGCGGCUGCGGCGCGCAUGUCUUCAUCGGGCCCGACUACUCCCCCCGCGGUGGGCUCGACGCGAGAGCUGGGCAAGGCAUACACCCUUGCGGCAGCUCCUCCAGCUGCUGCAUCUGCGGCGGAGCCGCCUUCGCCGAGCAGAAGCGAGCGCAUACACAGGUACACCUCGCCAGUCUCUCACCGUUCGCCUCCACUGUCCUCUCCGCCGCCGCCUGAGCGGGCGAAGCCGGACCGCCGCCUGCGUCAUCUUCUGCCAGCGCACUUGCGCGGCUGCCCAGCUGCGUCGCAGAGCGCCGAUGACAACUCACACAGGCACCAGCUGCAGACAGCGCGGCAGCACGAGGCCAACUGCCCGCCGGCUCGGCAUGCAGGUCAUCGCGCCGAAGUUUCGGCUCUGGAUGUGUCGGAUAUCUCCAGCAUCAGCAGCUGCAGCGAAGACGAUACUGCAACGCCUGGCAUGCGACAUCCGCCGCCUCACCGAGGAACGAGGCGAAAUGCGGCCGAACCCUCAGCUGCCGCGUCUACGUCGCAUCCGCAGGCGCCAACAGCGGUCGCACGGCCGACACUGCUUUCCAGGCUCAUCGACGGUGGCGCCGAAGAACUCGUGCGCCUCAGCCACCACCGUGAGGGACGCGACCGAGGAGAGCCAGAUCGGCCGCAAGGGGCGGCCAAAGAACCAAAAACGAGGUGGGCGCUGCUGGAGCACGUGCUCAUGGGAACUGCCGGGGCGGCGGCGUCAUCAUCGCACGCAGGCAGGCCGAAACUUGCGGGUGACCGCCACCGCCGCAGGCGCAGCCGACACCAUCGUGUAGGUCGUACCACUAACAGUGGCAGCUCAGAGAGGAGCACAACACACAGCAGGACCACCGACGCCUCUGCAUCAGACCCGGACAGCACGAGCAGCCGCGGAGAAGACUUCGGGCACGAUGGUGGCGGUGUUGUCGAUCUCCGCAGGGACCUCGACGACGAAGUGCCGCAGUGGGUGAGGCAGCACGAAGCCGCCCGCGAACGCCUCGCCCAGUUGCAGCAGCAGCAGCAGCAGUUCUCCUGGGCGUCACCGACAUUCAGCAACGCACACAUGCUCGCCACCGCGCGAGUGGCGGCAGCGGACAAGGCCCGGGCGCAGGUGGCGACGACUGCGGCAGCAUCGCAGGCGUUCUUCGGCAAACCGCGGAUUUUCUAUCCUUCGUCGAUGGCGCGGCGCACGCCGAGUGCGGCGUCAUACGCGGCUAGCGGACUCGCAGGUGGUGGGGCUGCUUGGUCGACUGUGAGUGACGUGGGCCGAGGCCGGCACGACACCCGAAGCGCGCUCACUGCAGUAGCGACUGCCGCCGGUGUGCCGCGAUCCCUGCUCGCGUUUUGGAAGGAAGGAAAGCGCCUGCUGAAGCAGCGCUCCUCCAACGCGACAGCGGUGGCCGUGGUCGAGUACUUGUGGCAGCGCUUUCAGGCGUGGAAGCCGUGUGGGUUGCGGCUGUUGCAUCGGCUGCACAGCGGCUUCUGCUCCUGUGAAGCUGCAGCACCGCCAGCGGGGUCGUCCCUGUCGCGCGCCGAGCACGAGAGUGGUCCCGGCCGCCUCCUGGUGAACCCGGCGUGCGAUGAUGCUGUGGAAGAUGCCGGCGGGCCCAUCGAAGACAUAUCGGGCACCACCAGCAGCGAUGACGACGGAGGCCACGCCUCUGCCGUGCAGAGCAAACCGGCACGGAAACCACGCAGAGUCAGCAAGCAGGCAUCGCCGCAGAGGCGUUCACGCGGCACCACCGGUGGAGGUAGCGACGCAACGGACGGGGCAAGCGCACAAAACAAAGACGAAGGGAAAGCAGGCGAUGCUGCCGCAGCCGUCGCCGCCGCCGAGGCGGGCGGCGGCAGUGACGAGGGUAUCGAGCUGCAGAUGAAGGUGCGCUACAUGGAGUCCGCCUUCAACGUCGUGGCCGUGCAUGGUGAGCUCACCUAUGCGAGCGAAGGCGCCUGCGCGCGUCUGGGACUUGCUUAUCCUCUUCCUCCCUCCCCUCCCUGCUGGUCACCACGCAUCAGCGGUCGUGCAGACGACGCUGAAACGACGCCAGCAGAGCAACAGCGACGGUGGACGUUCCUCGUUCCGGAGCCGGCGCUCACGCAGGUGCCGGUGCUGCUGCAGGAGUACCUCUACCUCGCGCCACCCUACACCGUCCUUCGCGAGGUGCAGACUGUCCUCUCCAGCUAUAACUUCACAACAGACGCGCUGCUGCGGCAACACGCGGCGGAGGAAAAAGCCGCUCAAGAAGAAAGGCAGCGACGGCGCGCGCUCGACGCGUCCAACGUAGCCGGUGUGGCGGCGCAGAAGACGAACGCAUCGUUGACGACGGCUGCAGUAGCGGGUCGCGCAGCGGCCGAUGCCUUUUUGGAGGGGCACAUUCUAGACCGUGGCGACGGAGAGUCUGGUGGUCGUCAACGUGGGGUUAGCCCGACCCGCAGCGGAUCGCUGCGCAACAGCGCUGCCGCGAGUGCACCCACCCGCUGGUGGGCAGCGCUGGAGGGGAACGACGAGACCUCUGUCGUCCGCGAAGCCGCCUCGAUCCACACACGGGCACCGGCUGACCAUGCAGACGCUCCCGUAGCGAAUCGCUCCCCAACAUCCUUGCGCCGAGAGUUCGGUGGUGAGCCGGUGAACCUCGGCCCGACACGCCCGGGUCGGGCGACGCCGCUGAAGCACCCCCAACGCCGGCAGUGGCCCGUGGAGGACGAGGAGGACACCCACCUGCGAAUCCAGUCAGCUGACGGCGUGGAAGGCCACACCCCAACCGCAGUGAGGCAGUGCGGCAGCGGUUGUGCGGGAGCGUCCCCAGAGCCGCACCAGCCACCCGUCUCUCGCUUCCCACCACCACUACCACCGCCACUGAGCGAUGCCGAAAAUGGGUGUGACGCCGUCAACGAUGAGGCACAGUGGCUACAAGGCGUCCCGUCCGAACAGCCAACCGUGUCCCCGUCCUAUGUACGCGCGAGUACCGCCAGCGUCAACUCGAUUUCCAUCGACGGGUUCUACGACCCGCUCGCGAUGCCCGCACUGCCGACAACGGGCGCCAAGAGGGGGAUAGCGGCAGCGUGGGGCGCCAACGAAAGGCGAGGUGACGGUGGCGGCAGCGGCACGAACGGGUUGGCCAUCGCCACCGCAGACGUGACGACGGUGCUCACCAGAGAAUCGAGGCACGGCGCUGGCCGUGAGUUUGUGCCAGAGGACGCGUUGGAGCGCGGACUCGCUGCGGGGCCUCGGCAACUGCCAAUCCCGCCUCAGAUGACCGCGCGUCCGAGCAACAGCCUCCGCUCGCCCGGAGAAGUCGAGCCAGCUGCCGGUGUGUUUGGCGCUGUUGUCGGGGAGGAUGCUCGGGGCCGUGGUGGCAACGCGCUCUCCAAUGAAAUGUCUACCGUGACAGCAGCAGCCAUCUCGGCGGACCCGUUGAUGGAUCAUCGCGUUGGGGGUGGCUUCCCGCGCGGCCCGACAGCUGACUGGGACAUCCCUGUCGAGGUCCUCUUUGCGCUGAGCGGCGGCAGCGGUCAAUGGCGGGAACGAUCUGAACAGCCUUUGCGACAUACGCGGCGGCACCGCGAUGCCGAAGUCGGCAGUGUAAGAAAGGAAGAUGAAGACGAUGACGGAGCUCCUGUGGUGCAGCAAGGCCUCGCAGGUGCCCGUAGCCAGGCCAUCACUUCUGCACGGUUCGCGCAAAAGCCAGUGCACGCGCACAAGCGCCACCGACACGAAACCCGCACGAGCGACGGCGCCUUCGAAUUUACCGCGCGUGGUGGGGCGUCCAGUGCGUUGGGCAGUGCCGCUGCGUCGCAGCUCGCCUCGCAGAGGAUCCCGCCGAGCGCAACCUUUUCGUUUCCGACCCCGCGUUGGCGAUCCGCGUCCGCUGCGUCUUCGCUCGUCUCAUCUGCAGCGCCGUCAUCCAGUAGUCCUUCUUCUUUGUCAGAGCCGGAGGACGGGGACGACGACGGUGUGAAAGGCGGCGGCACUGCCCAUGCAGCCCGGAAACCGUGCUGGAAGGUGAACGUGAAUGGAGCAGUACGCUGGCCGCGUCAUGGUACUCGUCGCAGUGAACGCGAUGGAGUCUUCGUCAGACGCCAGCAGCAGCAGCAAGAGCGGUGGAUCCGCGAGCUCUGGGGCCGCGGGAAGCAGAACAGCGAACCCUCCGUCUCGCCUGCUGCGCCAUCCUCUGUCUCUGCACCGGCUCAUGCGCCGGCCGGCCCCUCUCCAUGCAGCCAGCAUCAGCAGCAGACAUCGCAGUGGCACAGGCAAGCUAUAAUGUGCACAUCAAAGCCUCUCUCCUCGGCUGUUGAUGCAUCGAUAUCGGCGAUGCGUGCGGCGAGCGCUUCCGCCAGAGCGGCGCCAAUAACGAGCGAAACGGGCGGCAACGCCGCGAUGAACUCUGCGCCACGAUCUUCGCCGCUCCCAGACGAGGAUAGUGCCGCCAUGGCAUCGCACGCUGACCCUCUGACGAGCCUCAGCUCUCUGGAGGCGAUUGUCCGUGGUGUUCCAAGCGUGCCAGUGCUGCACCAAGCCGAGGAUGCAGACGCGAGUACCGCCACAGCAAGCUUCUUCGCUCUGGAAGACGUUUACUUGAGCGAUACUGAUUGACAGCGUUGCACGAGCGCGGGGCGCAUAUACAGAUAUACAUCCAGAGAAGCCUGCCGACAUCCGCGCGCGCGUGCGAUAGAGAGAGGGAGGGGGAAGGGUAUGCGUAUGUGUCUACCCCUCUCCCUCCACUCUAUCUGCAUCGGCGCAUCCAGCGUGCGGCACACUUCUCAGUCGUCUUGGUGCCCUUCUGUCUGCUGCUCUUCUCUUCAUGCAUAUAUAUAUAUAUAUGUGUGUGUGUGUUGGGCCUGGCGGCCCUCCCCACAACCACCCCCUCUUGCUGCGGCUACGCGCAUAAGCGCGACCACCGAAGAAGGGCAGGAAAAAUCGUGGCGCACAAGAGAAAGACAGAAGGGGAGGAGGGCAGCUUAGACCGCGCUGCGCAGAGAUGUUCGAGAGGGCGAUGCUGCCGGCGUGCACGUCCCACACGCGCGUCUUGAUUCCUCUCCGCCAGCAAAGAGACAUGCCUGCUCACGCGGCGCAUGGGAAGGGUCGCCGGCAUAUGGAACGCCGCGUCAGUGCCGCUUUUUUCCGUUGGAGCCACCCUCCCCCUCGCACGCUCUUCUCGCUGAGCUCAGCGAGUCCGAAGGCGACUGG